GCACUUGUGAGGGCGAUCUGGCUGCGACAUCUGUCACCCUAUUGAUUGCCAGGGUUGAUUUGGCUGAUCUGGCUGGCUAGGCGGGUGUCCCCUUCCUCCCUGAGUGCUCCAUGUGAGUCCUUCCCGAAGCUGCGUGCUCGGUUGAAGAGGACAACCAUCCCCAAUAGAAGAGGACUGGUCUUUGGUCAAGGGUAUACGAGUAGCUGCACUCCCCUGCUAGAACCUCCAAACAAGCUCUCAAGGUCCAAAGUGGCUGCACCAUCUUACAUUCCCACCAGCAAUGUAUGAGGGCUCCAGUUUCUUCACAUUC
rnacentral:snRNA from 1 species